rfam:Larimichthys crocea isolate SSNF unplaced genomic scaffold scaffold512, whole genome shotgun sequence.
GGUGCUGUAGCUUAGUUGGUCAAAGCGCCUGUCUUGUAAACAGGAGAUCCUGGGUUCAAAUCCCAGCAGUGCCU